rnacentral:rRNA from 1 species
AUUGAACGCUGGCGGCAGGCUUAACACAUGCAAGUCGAACGAGUGGCGGACGGGUGAGUAAUGCUUGGGAAUCUGGCUUAUGGAGGGGGAUAACUACUGGAAACUGUCGCUAAUACCGCGUACCAUCGGAUGAGCCCAAAUGGGAUUAGGUAGUUGGUGGGGUAAUGGCUUACCAAGCCGACGAUCUCUAGCUGGUCUGAGAGGAUGACCAGCCACACCGGGACUGAGAAACGGCCCUGACUCCUACGGGAGGCAGAAGUGGGGAAUAUUGCGCAAUGGGGGCAACCUGACGCAGCCAUGCCGCGUGAAUGAAGAAGGCCUUAGGGUUGUAAAGUUCUUUCGGUGGCGAGGCGUUAAUCACAGAAGAAGCACCGGCUAACUCCGUGCCAGCAGCCGCGGUAAUUC